rnacentral:rRNA from 1 species
CCUACGGGUGGCAGCAGUCGAGAAUCAUUCACAAUGGGGGAAACCCUGAUGGUGCGACGCCGCGUGGGGGAAUGAAGGUCUUCGGAUUGUAAACCCCUGUCAUGUGGGAGCAAAUUAAAAAGAUAGUACCACAAGAGGAAGAGACGUCUAACUCUGUGCCAGCAGCCGCGGUAAUACAGAGGUCUCAAGCGUUGUUCGGAAUCACUGGGCGUAAAGCGUGCGUAGGCGGUUUCGUAAGUCGUGUGUGAAAGGCGCGGGCUCAACCCGCGGACGGCACAUGAUACUGCGAGACUAGAGUGAUGGAGGGGGAACUGGAAUUCUCGGUGUAGCAGUGAAAUGCGUAGAUAUUGGGAGGAACACUCGUGGCGAAGGCGGGUUCCUGGACAUUAACUGACGCUGAGGCACGAAGGCCAGGGGAGCGAAAGGGAUUAGAUACCCUUGUAGUC